AUGGGGCGUGGGAAAGUGGAGCUCAAGAAGAUCGAGAACACGACGAGCCGCCAGGUCACCUUCUCCAAGAGGCGGAUGGGCCUGCUCAAGAAGGCAAAUGAGCUGGCCAUUCUUUGCGACGCGCAGGUUGGGGUGAUCGUAUUCUCCGGCAGUGGCAAGAUGUACGAGUACUCCAGCCCUCCAUGGAGGAUUGCAAACAUCUUUGACAGAUACCUGAAAGCCCCCAGCACCCGUUUUGAUGAGAUGGACGUCCAGCAGAAAAUCAUCCAUGAGAUGACACGGAUGAAGGAUGAGAGCAACAGGCUGAAGAUCAUCAUGAGGCAGUACAUGGGUGAGGACCUGGGUUCUCUGACCCUGCAAGACGUGAGCAAUCUUGAGCAGCAGAUCGAGUUCUCGCUGUACAAGGUUCGCCUUAGGAAGCAACAGCUGCUUGACCAGCAGCUGCUCGAGAUGCGCCAGAGGGUGUGCGAAACAAGAUGCAUUGAUUUGUCCGGCAUUCCUGAGAUGCACAUGUCAGAGGACCAGAGCAGCAGCUACAUGUUCCACAUGAAUCUGGCGAGGGAUCAGCCGGGCCAGUCGGCCGACGUGAUGAACCCGAAGCUGUUCCCCCUGUGGGACGUCGGCGACCAGAUCUACGGGCAGGACGCCGAGUCCUCCAUGACUGCUCUCAAGCUCUCGCCGCAGCUGCAGGAGUACAAGCUCCAGCCGGUGCAGCCCAACCUGCAGGAGGGCAACCUCCAUGGCUACGUCCUUCGCCUCUGA
rnacentral:rRNA from 1 species